GCUACACAUGCAAGUCGAGCGGAUGAAGGGAGCUUGCUCCUGGAUUCAGCGGCGGACGGGUGAGUAAUGCCUAGGAAUCUGCCUGGUAGUGGGGGAUAACGUCCGGAAACGGGCGCUAAUACCGCAUACGUCCUGAGGGAGAAAGUGGGGGAUCUUCGGACCUCACGCUAUCAGAUGAGCCUAGGUCGGAUUAGCUAGUUGGUGGGGUAAAGGCCUACCAAGGCGACGAUCCGUAACUGGUCUGAGAGGAUGAUCAGUCACACUGGAACUGAGACACGGUCCAGACUCCUACGGGAGGCAGCAGUGGGGAAUAUUGGACAAUGGGCGAAAGCCUGAUCCAGCCAUGCCGCGUGUGUGAAGAAGGUCUUCGGAUUGUAAAGCACUUUAAGUUGGGAGGAAGGGCAGUAAGUUAAUACCUUGCUGUUUUGACGUUACCAACAGAAUAAGCACCGGCUAACUUCGUGCCAGCAGCCGCGGUAAUACGAAGGGUGCAAGCGUUAAUCGGAAUUACUGGGCGUAAAGCGCGCGUAGGUGGUUCAGCAAGUUGGAUGUGAAAUCCCCGGGCUCAACCUGGGAACUGCAUCCAAAACUACUGAGCUAGAGUACGGUAGAGGGUGGUGGAAUUUCCUGUGUAGCGGUGAAAUGCGUAGAUAUAGGAAGGAACACCAGUGGCGAAGGCGACCACCUGGACUGAUACUGACACUGAGGUGCGAAAGCGUGGGGAGCAAACAGGAUUAGAUACCCUGGUAGUCCACGCCGUAAACGAUGUCGACUAGCCGUUGGGAUCCUUGAGAUCUUAGUGGCGCAGCUAACGCGAUAAGUCGACCGCCUGGGGAGUACGGCCGCAAGGUUAAAACUCAAAUGAAUUGACGGGGGCCCGCACAAG
rnacentral:rRNA from 1 species